UACGAAGGGGGCGAGCGUUGUUCGGAUUUACUGGGCGUAAAGGGCGCGCAGGCGGCUCCAAAAGUCAGGCGUGAAAGCCCCGGGCUUAACCUGGGAGGUGCGUCUGGGACUGUGGGGCUAGAGUUCGGGAGAGGAGCGUGGAAUUCCCAGUGUAGAGGUGAAAUUCGUAGAUAUUGGGAAGAACACCGGUGGCGAAGGCGGCGACCUGGUCCUUGACUGACGCUGAGGCGCGAAAGCGUGGGGAGCAAACAGG
rnacentral:rRNA from 1 species